rnacentral:rRNA from 1 species
GUCGAACGAAGCACUUUAUUUGAUUUCCUUCGGGACUGAUUAUUUUGUCCCUUAGUGGCGGACGGGUGAGUAACGCGUGGGUAACCUGCCUUGUACAGGGGGAUAACAGUUGGAAACGGCUGCUAAUACCGCAUAAGCGCACAGCAUCGCAUGAUGCAGUGUGAAAAACUCCGGUGGUAUAAGAUGGACCCGCGUUGGAUUAGCUAGUUGGUGAGGUAACGGCCCACCAAGGCGACGAUCCAUAGCCGACCUGAGAGGGUGACCGGCCACAUUGGGACUGAGACACGGCCCAAACUCCUACGGGAGGCAGCAGUGGGGAAUAUUGCACAAUGGGCGAAAGCCUGAUGCAGCGACGCCGCGUGAGCGAAGAAGUAUUUCGGUAUGUAAAGCUCUAUCAGCAGGGAAGAUAAUGACGGUACCUGACUAAGAAGCACCGGCUAAAUACGUGCCAGCAGCCGCGGUAAUACGUAUGGUGCAAGCGUUAUCCGGAUUUACUGGGUGUAAAGGGAGCGCAGGCGGUGCGGCAAGUCUGAUGUGAAAGCCCGGGGCUCAACCCCGGUACUGCAUUGGAAACUGUCGUACUAGAGUGUCGGAGGGGUAAGCGGAAUUCCUAGUGUAGCGGUGAAAUGCGUAGAUAUUAGGAGGAACACCAGUGGCGAAGGCGGCUUACUGGACGAUAACUGACGCUGAGGCUCGAAAGCGUGGGGAGCAAACAGGAUUAGAUACCCUGGUAGUC